UACGUAGGGCGCAAGCGUUGUCCGGAAUUAUUGGGCGUAAAGAGCUCGUAGGCGGUUUGUCGCGUCUGCUGUGAAAACCUAAGGCUCAACCUUGGGCUUGCAGUGGGUACGGGCAGACUAGAGUGCGGUAGGGGAGACUGGAAUUCCUGGUGUAGCGGUGAAAUGCGCAGAUAUCAGGAGGAACACCGAUGGCGAAGGCAGGUCUCUGGGCCACUACUGACGCUGAGAAGCGAAAGCGUGGGGAGCGAACAGG
rnacentral:rRNA from 1 species